UGGACAGAUAAAUAGGAACGG
rnacentral:miRNA from 1 species